rnacentral:lncRNA from 1 species
CGAAUAUGCCUGAUGCCCCGCUCGGUUCCACCGCCGUCGCAACUUUUCCUCCUCCUAAAUCACCGGAAGAUCCACUGCCGAAUGAUCAACCCAAUCUUCCCACCCCUCCUGAGUUCAGCUCUACCCCCACCUGCGACGAUAACUGCAAUGAUGAUCGGAGGAUCGAGAAAUCUGAUGAGAAGGGUUCGAACUCGAGUGCAAUGAAGGGGGUAAAUGAGAGAAAACGGGCAUUGCCUUCUUGGGCUUACCAGAAGGUGGAAGAUGAUGGGGCUGUUGAUGAGAAACUAAAGGGCAGUGAAUCGGAGUUGCCUUCUUCGCUGGCUAAAGGGAA